GAGGAUAUAGCUCAAAUGGUAGAGCGCAUGCUUAGCAUGCACAAGGUCCUGGGUUCAAUCCCAGUACCUCCA
rnacentral:tRNA from 1 species